AUGGGUAGGUGUGGGCGCUCUUUUUAGGUUCUGUUUGACGAACUCAUUAUCAAAAGGUGUAAGUGUAAAUUACUUUCUUACCUAAACCUACUUCUAUUAGACUCUUUUAUUCUGCAUUCUUCAAAUUUUUUGGGCAUCUUGAAAGAUUCCUUUAAAACAAAAAAAAGGGUAAAAGAUUGAGAUCAGAAGAUGGUUUUGUUGACAGGUGGUGCUGAAGUUUGGAUUCAAUGAAUUUCGAAGUUCUUGCGAUAUUGUCAAGU